GGAUGUGAAGGCGAUCUGGCUGCGACAUCUGUCACCCCAUUAAUCGCCAGGGUUGAUUCAGCUGAUCUGGCUGGCUAGGCGGGUGUCCCCUUCCUCCCUCACUAUUCCAUGUGCAUCCCUCCCAAAGCUGCGCGCUCGGUUGAAGAGGACCACCCCCAAUAGAGGAGGACGUUUUCCUUGGUCAAGGAUAUACGAGUAGCUGUGCUCCCCUGCUAGAACCUUCAAACAAGCUCUCAAGAUUGAAUACAUCCACAGUAUGGGCAAGACAAAAGAAAUUUGGCACCAGAAAAUAUUUUCUUU
ensembl:misc_RNA 7SK 7SK RNA